AUGCCGCAGGUGAUGGCUAUUCCCCUCCUGAGGAUGCACCAGUCGGGGAGGAGACCCUUGCUCAUGGAAUUACUGCGGCUAAGGAGGUUCAGUAGGUUUCAUGCUUCCUGGACUUUCCAAAAAGGAUGUUUGCUGAUGGAAUGGCUUACCAGAAGAGGAAGAUUCUGUAAAAAUUCAGUUCCCUUGUAUGUUCCCAGCCUCUGGCAGGAGUUGGGGAUAAAAUUGAGCCCGUGGCACAAUGGGGAGGUAGGACACCGACUGAGACCACUCCAGCACUCACCACGUGUGCCCAGGCCCGGGGCUGCGAGGGACACGGAGACAUCAAGACAUGGCCCCAGCCUCCAGGAGUGUGUGGUCUAGGGGGAGAGAAGAGACCCUAAACACACCAGCAGCACAAGGGUGGUGGGAGCACCGGGGGGCCUAACAAGCAGGAACAGCGAUGUGCAC
rnacentral:lncRNA from 1 species